AGGAGGAAGCCCCGGCUAACUACGUGCCAGCAGCCGCGGUAAUACGUAGGGGGCUAGCGUUAUCCGGAUUUACUGGGCGUAACGGGUGCGUAGGCGGUCUUUCAAGUCAGGAGUGAAAGGCUACGGCCCAACCGUAGUAAGCUCUUGAAACUGGGAGACUUGAGUGCAGGAGAGGAGAGUGGAAUUCCUAGUGUAGCGGUGAAAUGCGUA
rnacentral:rRNA from 1 species